UCUGGAUGUCUAACCUGAAUUAUCCUCUUGUCAAGUGCUGAAGACCUGCAGCUUGCUUUGGGACAGUUUUACGGAGUUCUUUGCUGCUAGCAAGUAAAGGAAAUAAUUGUGGAAUUAUAUGUUUGGAGGAGAUGAGCUCAAGUUCAAAUUAAAAUACUGACUGUGCUACAUUUGCCUACUCUGAAGAAG